CAAAAAGCAAUCAUUUUCUUGGAUACAACUGGAUUGAGCACCAGCUAGUUUGGCAUUGGCUGUAAACAUGCUUCAAGGUGCUCUAUCAAAGGGUUGUGUAUCAUUGUAACAGACAUCCCAGACAGCUUCCAUGGCAUCCUUUGCUGAUGCCGCAGAGCAGUAAGGGUUAGCAAUCACCGAUUUCAUGACUCUUCUUCUCACACAAUCCUGUGAAUAUCAGAGCAGAAACCAUAUAUAAUUUUACUUAUUUUGAAUAAACUUCUAAAACAAUGUAGAAGAAAACCCAUACUCCGGCCAAACACUCCCCCCCACCCCCCUUCUCUCAAGAUAUAAGGUUUUUGAGGAAUGGAAUUUGAAUUAGACUAACAUUCAAAACAUAAGUACUUCCAAUUAAAGCAUUCAGUGACAAAAAUAGGUCACUUAUAGUUCUUUAAAGACUAAUCCAUGAUGGCAUUGUAGGCAUAUGGUAAAACUGGAAAUUUUAAUCAUUAAAUUGAUAAAUUCCUUCACUGUUGCACUAAGAACUCUAAAUGUUGAACUUUCUUUCUCUUGUAAUUACAUCCAAAUGUGCAAGGAAAUUAGAAACAUGAAUAGACUAUUGUUAAUAAAGGGACUAUAGCAUACUUAUAUUCAUUAAUUUUUUAGUGAAGUGCAGGCUUAUAUCAGAAAAGAUUUGAAUAUUUGUUGGCUCCAGCACAUGUUAUAAGUCACUAGGUGUAUCUCUGUCAGCAUUUCAACACUUUUAACUAAAGUCUUUCUACAGAAAGGAAACUCACCUGUUCAUGGCCUCUUAUCUUCAUGUAACCCCGCAGUAAUUCCCGUUUGUAGUGACAAUCACC
rnacentral:lncRNA from 1 species